UGAGAUGGACGAUCCUGGUUCUGGAGUCCUCUUUUGAGAGGCUGAGAAUUGGUUGGUUUUGAGGCCUCCCUGGACCAGAGUAGGGACCAGCAGCGUUUCCUGCCCCUCUGCUGUUGGGCAGUGGCAGCAUGUGCUGUUCCGAGGCUGUGCAUCCUCCACGGGGCUUGUCCUUGGGGCUGAGCCCUGCAAACUCCCUUGGUACUUGCUCCAUCCAGACGAUGUAUGGGUGAGAUAAGGGCAAUUCCUCUCUCUGGGGCCGGCUAGAGGCAGAACUGGGUGCCAGCCCUGAUCCCAGAGCCAGUCAAUCACUCCAUCACAAACUUUACCAGAUAAACUCUGUGUUAACCUGCAUGUUAAUCCAAGAGCUGUGGCUCCAUGCAGUAGCUGCAGGUCUCCAACAACAUGCCAGAGCAAUGGGAAGGUCUUUGACUGCUGGGCCUUUUCUGCCUAUGGCUGUCACUCACCCCUCCAAUACAUUUUUGGGAAUUGGGCUGUUCCUUGCUUGGGGUUCCAGAGUGCAAUGAGUCAAAGGUGUGUCCACAAAAGUCUGCAGCCUAGUGCUGAUACUGGGGGUAUAUUGUGAUGUCUUCCAGGGGUCCUGCGUGUUCCAGAGCUCACCCAUCUGAUGGAUAGACCCAGGUGAGAGGGUAGUACCCUUGUUGAAACUCCACAGCCCAUCCCUCCAAAUCCCUUUCCCACCAGAUCUGAACACCGAUCUUGUGGUCGAAAAAGGAGGAAGAGUAACAUUCAUGCUGGUCUUGGGCUCUCAGCAGGUGUGUCCUGUGCUGAGAGGGGCCACUAGGAAGACAGGCUGUGCUGGCCUCACUAUUUUGGGAAUUCUGGUUAGGAAGGAAACUCCUGGUCAGGAGAAGGGAUAAACAUGGGGCACGGGGGGCAGACAUGCCAUGAGGGUUGGGGAGGCUGUAAUUUAUUGGGAAUAUCUGAGCCGUGGAUUUACAGUAACCCAUUGCCUUCAGGCACUAAACUCCAGCUCUGUUUUUUCAGCAGUAACUCUGGAAAAAGACUAAAACCUGUGAGCCCUGUCCCAAGGGCUUCAGCUUGCUUUCUGUAGGACCUGAGUUGUGAGGAAGCUGCAGUGUGGAGCAUGUGAGUGUUCUCUGGAGAACUCCUGGUGUUGGGGUGGGCAGUCUAAGCAGAGGGUGAACCAUCCCUGAUGGACUUGGUGCUGCAGUGCCAGAGUGUUCUUUCCCAGCCCUCUCCUCCAGAAGUGGGAGCUCUGCAGAGCCAGAUCCUGGCUCCUUCCUGAGCUGUGAGCUCUGCCAAGUGGGAUCAGCCACUUCUGGGCUCCCCUCACCUGCAGUGGAGGGAGGUAGAACUGAUUUGGCUCCAGGUAUAUCUGAAGCUCUGGUUCAUAUGCUCCACCUGGAAGAACAGUCUGUUCCAUGGAGUUUUCUCAGGAGGGAGUCUGGAUAUUAAAUAUUUGAUUAGAGGAGAGAGCCAGUAAUGCCAAGGUGGUGGGUUUGAUCCCUGUACAGGCCAUUCGCUUAAGAGCUGGACUCAGUUGUCCAUGUGGGCCCCUUCCAGCUUGGAAUAUUCUCUGUGUGUGAUAGGAGUUUGAAUAAAUGCAAUUACUUCAAAUCUU